rnacentral:rRNA from 1 species
CGUAGGUGGCAAGCGUUAUCCGGAAUUAUUGGGCGUAAAGCGCGCGUAGGCGGUUUUUUAAGUCUGAUGUGAAAGCCCACGGCUCAACCGUGGAGGGUCAUUGGAAACUGGAAAACUUGAGUGCAGAAGAGGAAAGUGGAAUUCCAUGUGUAGCGGUGAAAUGCGCAGAGAUAUGGAGGAACACCAGUGGCGAAGGCGACUUUCUGGUCUGUAACUGACGCUGAUGUGCGAAAGCGUGGGGAUCAA